rnacentral:misc_RNA from 1 species
GUUGACUGCGGACACGCCGCUCGCAUACGGCCGUCGACCAGACCGAUUCGUGUGUUCCUACGUUUUGUUGUGUUCUUUUUUUUUUGAAUGAGCAGCGUUCAGUUUGACGCGAACCGCGGCCAGGCCAUCACCGUCUGAUGUUAUAUUACAGUCAUCGAUGACUCCGUAGUCUUGUUCGUCUCGACCGGGACACGCGGCCGAGAUCGGCGUACGACGACGGUACCUAUAUCAUAAUAAUAUUAUAUACACUUACGACUCGUCCAGUGUUAAUUCAUAUAAAUGUUUUAUAAUCAUAUUCGUUUAUCGUAAUCGUAAAAAUUACAUUCACUACCACCGGAGUUCUCGCGAGAGUGAGUGCUAUAUAUAUAUAAUAUAUACACGAUACACCAAUAUACAUCGCGUGUAUAUAUAUAUAUAUAUAUAUGCGUUUGAAUGUGUUAGCGGCCACGAUCGCGAUCUGUCUGAGAUGAUCGUACGAAUGAAAUCUCAUAUACAAAAUAUACUUACAUUCCAAACGGUCCAACGCGACACCAUGCGUGUACGGCUAUAGCUGUUAUUUUACCUAAGCAAAAUAUAUCACCGACACCUCAUAGCCACCAAUUUUUCUUUAGGUACUUUCCAUUAUUAUUAUUAUUAUUAUUAAUAUAUAAUAUUAUAAACGCGCUGGCGAAGUGUCAAAAUUCAACUUGUGUUUUGCUGUCACCGGAAUUCAAAACAAUAUAAUACCGUGUCCGUGGGUAUUGUGAAAUAUAAUAUUAUUAUACACACAUGAUGUAUAUUGCACAUAUAAUAUUAUAUUGUCUACGUGAUUAAAAUGACAAACGCGAAGAAGAAUAGUAGGGAUGACAAUGAUAACGACGACGACUAUGUAAGAAUGUGACGGGAAGAGGAUGUUAUUAUAUAGGCAUAUAUAUAUAUAUACAUAUAUAUACAUAGAUACCUAAACGUACAACGCGGUAGAAUCGUAAUUUUCGUUUUAUAUAGGUAGGUACCGGUCACUACCUUUAUAACAUACUCAUCUUAUAUAAACAGUUAGUCGCAUGCUAAGACAAAUGAAUUGGUCACGUCAUAAACAUUUUAAUUUCGGCAAUAUAUAAUAAUAUAUAGGUACGCGUGCAUAGUAUAUAAUACCUAUAUAUACCAUAUUAUAGUGUAUA